GAUGUAUAUAUCCAUAGGUCUAACUUGACAGAAAAUAAAUAAAUAAGCAAAUAAAUAAAAGUCGGAGGAGUUAUUCUGUGCAGUUAUUUAAGCAAGAAAAGAAUUUUCAGAAUCAUUCAGUAAACUUCAUGCAGAAUGACUUCCCACUAGCACUUUCCUCCUGCUCCUGUAAAAGUGUGUUGAAAAAAAGAAUUGCAUAAUGAUAGCUUCAAAUUCCAUCUUGGUAAGGUGCAAACUUGUUGUCUGCAGAGACUGUCUUUGACACUGCUUCUGGGUGUGAAACGUGACUUCAGGCAAGGGGGAAGCAUCUCUCUUUUUCCUAGGCUAUCUAGCUGGACAUUUGGAAUUACGCUGUAGCAGAGGAGAACAUUACACCAGCCUCUUGAGUGCUAUAUGCCUAUUCAUGGACAAACUAACGCUUUUUUAAUGAGAGUUUCUGAGGUUGCUAUCCAAACUACAUUCCUUAUCCCAGAUCUCAUCCUUAGCACAACUCCCAAAGGUAUUUGGGAGUUUGGAUGCAGACAUAUAUGUGAAUCCAGGGCUCGAUCAGGUCUCACUGAAGUCAAUAACAAUAUAGUUGUUGCUGAAGAGAUAUCCAUGAGGCUCAAAGGAGAAGUAAAAGCCAUCCAAGAAAAAGCGAGAGAUGAAUUACAGGUUCUUCUUUUCAUCAAAACACACCUUACACUUCUCUGUCUCUCUCCCCCUUUUAAAACAGAAAAUCAACUCUUUUAACUUUAUAGCUACUUAAAAAUAACCGAGAAAAUAUUUAAAUUUGAAGAAAUACUGAAGAGUUCUGGAUGGACGCCCAAAAAACGUCAAGUGACCUUCCAGAUAUAGGACUGCAUUUUGGAAUUUACCAACUCCGGUGAAGAAUUUUUGGUGAUGGCAAACUGCUGAAGGGCAGUAAAACAAGCACCGGGAAUCCGAGCAACGAACCUUUGUUUGCAUGUCUCCCUGUUUCCGGAAAAAAAAAAAAAAUGGGGAAAGAAAAAGAAAAAGAAAAAAAAAAAAAAGAAGAAUAAAGAACACCUGCAAACCUUCGGUGCGUUAAAUAUUUCAUAAGCAUAACCUCAGGGCGAUCUAAUUACAGAUCGGGCAUAUGUUAAUGCGUAAUUUACCCGGGAAUAUUAAUUUGCGAAGCGCUCGUGGUGUGAGUUAACCCGUUCUUUACAGAAGCGCGUUGGACUCCGAGAGCAGCCUCCAACGCUCUCCCUCUGAGCUGCUCUCUGCGCAGCGCAGCAUCGCUGACCCACUCAGCGGUGGGGUGC
ensembl:lncRNA